UUAAGUUCAGCGGGUAGUCCUGACUGAUUUGAGGUCUAAAAUUUAAAGUGCUGUAAUAGCGCAUUAGAAGCACCUCUAACUUUUGAAGAAAACGUCCUCAGCGAAAUACUUAUUACGCCAAGUCAAACCAUGUCGCGAGACAGAUCCAGCUAUUACUUUUAAGACGAGCCGACUUAUCAUCGGCAAACGUCCAAAUCCAA
rnacentral:misc_RNA from 1 species